rnacentral:rRNA from 1 species
AUUGAACGCUGGCGGCAGGCCUAACACAUGCAAGUCGAACGGUAACAGGAAGAAGCUUGCUUCUUUGCUGACGAGUGGCGGACGGGUGAGUAAUGUCUGGGAAACUGCCUGAUGGAGGGGGAUAACUACUGGAAACGGUAGCUAAUACCGCAUAACGUCGCAAGACCAAAGAGGGGGACCUUCGGGCCUCUUGCCAUCGGAUGUGCCCAGAUGGGAUUAGCUAGUAGGUGGGGGAACGGCUCACCUAGGCGACGAUCCCUAGCUGGUCUGAGAGGAUGACCAGCCACACUGGAGCUGAGACACGGUCCAGACUCCUACGGGAGGCAGCAGUGGGGAAUAUUGCACAAUGGGCGCAAGCCUGAUGCAGCCAUGCCGCGUGUAUGAAGAAGGCCUUCGGGUUGUAAAGUACUUUCAGCGGGGAGGAAGGGAGUAAAGUUAAUACCUUUGCUCAUUGACGUUACCCGCAGAAGAAGCACCGGCUAACUCCGUG